CCAACUAGGCCUACGCUGGUGGCCGCACCUCGCAGCCGAAAUGUUUGAAAAUUCUCCCUGUUUAUCGGACAAUGAAUGAAAACUCGCAAAGCGACACACAAAUGAUUUGCACACCUUCUUUGCUAACACCCACAUGUAGUUCUAGUAAGGUUUUGAUUUUAUAUGUAGUAAAUGCAUGGUAAAUACAAAAAAUGGCUUAAAUAUAGCUGACAAGACCUGAAAUGGGCCAAAAACUCAAACCUAGGUUAUAUCGGUGAUUGCUUACCUAGGUUAUAUCGUUGAUUGCUUACCGUGAAAAAAAAAUUGACGCAGAACGAUGAAGUCACCGACGAUUGGAGUCUGAAUUGUCGUUCUCUUUUUGGAAACCAUGAUCCUUCUUGUGAGAUGCUCCGGUUUUCAAGGUGCGAGCAUCAAAAUUUAUGCCAAACUUUAUCAAAAAAUUUACAUGGGGUCGUGAGAGCACACCACGGUGACACACCGAUUUUCAUGAUUUUCGGACUCUAUAUGCAAUUCAUGUAAUUAAAAUACCAAGAAGGCCUGCGCGUGUGGCUGCACCCUGAGGCUGAAUUGUUUGAAAAUUCUUCUGGUCUCUCAGGAAAAGAAUGAAAACUCGCAAAGCAAUACAUAAAUGAUCUUGCUAACACCCACGUGUAGUUGCGGCAUAUAUAUAGUAGCAUUAUGCUGAUCUUAGGAUUAUAAUAAUAUUAUGAUAACUUUCAGCCCUAUAUAGGUGGCGAUGAGAUGUCCGUGAACUCUUCAUACGAAAAAGAAAAAACCACCCAUCCCCGCGUCCUCAACCUCCCACCCCCGGAUCCCCAUGUUUCCCACCAGCCACCCUGCGUGCCGCCGCCUCCGGCUCGCCCAGCGCACCGCCACCACAUGCCAAUCCCGCGCGGCACCGCCACAGGCCAACCCCGUGCGUCGCUGCCGCCGCCGGCCAACCCCGUGCGCCGCCUCCAUCGGCUAACCCCACGCCCCGCCGCCCGCGGAAACCCCGCGCACCUCCACCUCCUACCGAUGGACCUAGCGCCGGCAGCCGCGGUGCUCCUUUGCUCGUCGCCGCCUCAGAGACGAACACGACACUGCCACCCCGAGGACCCUCUGAAACAUGCGCGGCGGCGGAGCUCCCCUGCCCACUGCCUAUUCCUCCAUGCAUGCCCUCCUUCCUUGCCGGAGCCGAUGCGGGCCGCCGCCUCACCAUGCCGCCCGGGAUCCCACCCACCGGCGUCCUGGCCGGCCACAUCGACCUUCUCACAAGGGCACACCUUGACCUUCCCGAGGAAGGUUCAUCCAUGGAGCAGCCGCUCCCACCCCUCCACACUCGCGUCGUGCCUGGCUCACCGCAGACCCUUGCGCUUCGUCACCCAGUGUGCUGCCACCGCAUGGCUGACGGGGCUAUUGCCUGUGAAUCACAUCCGGGCUGGUGGUGGAGAUUGUGGACUCGGGCGUGAAUUGGAGUAGGACGAGCACGAUGUUGUACAUGGGGGUCAGGGUGGUGGGAGGUUCUACCAAACUUCUCCCUGCCUCCCCAGCGGAUCUACACACCUUGUCGUCGCCCCUGCAUUUCCAUGCACCAAUGCCAACUUGCGGUGCCUGCAUCUUCGCCCUACAAAAAAAGGGAUGCAGUUUGGCUGAUGUACGCAAGAAAGGAACACGUUUGUUCAUGGUAAAGGAUGCAGAUGUUCAGAGCUCCAAUGUUAUUUCUUUGAUCUGUUAUGUUUGUAUAAUUUUGACUAACAUUUUGUUUCCUACAAUAGUUAAAGAUCAUCUAUUUAGGGAUUUACUUGGCAGUCAGAUGUAUAAAGGUGUGUUUACUAUGAUCAUAGUAUCUGAUGUUUUGGAUCUGUACUAAAUAGGUUAGGGAUUGUUUGGCGUUGGUGGGUGUUGGAGUGUUACUACUACUUGCAUGUAUCUAUACCUGUUGUUUAAUAAAUCAAUGCUGAAAUUUUUUCUCUGA